ACGCUCGACACCUACGGGAGGCAGCAGUCGGGAAUAUUGCGCAAUGGAGGAAACUCUGACGCAGUGACGCCGCGUAUAGGAAGAAGGUCUUCGGAUUAGUAAACUAUUGUCGUUAGGGAAGAAAAGGACAGUACCUAAGGAGGAAGCUCCGGCUAACUACGUGCCAACAGCCGCGGUAAUCUGAGGCGGGCUGGCAAGGC
rnacentral:rRNA from 1 species